UACGAAGGGGGCUAGCGUUGUUCGGAAUUACUGGGCGUAAAGCGCGCGCAGGCGGUCUUCCAAGUCAGUGGUGAAAGCCCGGAGCUCAACUCCGGAACUGCCAUUGAAACUGUUGGACUUGAGUACGAGAGAGGUGAGUGGAAUUCCCAGUGUAGAGGUGAAAUUCGUAGAUAUUGGGAAGAACACCGGUGGCGAAGGCGGCUCACUGGGCCCGGUACUGACGCUGAGGUGCGAAAGCGUGGGGAGCAAACAGG
rnacentral:rRNA from 1 species